AGAGUUUGAUCAUGGCUCAGAAUAAACGCUGGCGGCGUGCCUAACACAUGCAAGUCGAGCGAGAAAGUUCCUUCGGGAAUGAGUACAGCGGCGGACGGGUGAGCAACGCGUGAGAAUCUGCCCUUCAGUGAAGAAUACCGUCGAGAAAUCGACGUUAAUGCUGCAUACGUCCCUUCGGGGAGAAAAGUGGCCUCUUUGCUACUGCUGAAGGAUGAGCUUGCGUACUAUUAGCUAGUUGGUGGGGUAAAAGCCUACCAAGGCGAUGAUGGUUAACCGGCCUGAGAGGGUGUUCGGUCACACUGGAACUGAGAUACGGUCCAGACUCCUACGGGAGGCAGCAGUGAGGAAUAUUGCGCAAUGGGCGAAAGCCUGACGCAGCGACGCCGCGUGGAGGAUGAAGGUCUUCGGAUUGUAAACUUCUGUUAAGUGGGAAGAAAGGGCUGCUUUUAAUAGAAGCAGUUAAUGACGGUACCAUUAAAGAAAGCACCGGCUAAACUCGUGCCAGCAGCCGCGGUAAUACGAGUGGUGCAAGCGUUAUUCGGAAUCAUUGGGCGUACAGGGUGUGUAGGCGGUAUGUUAAGUCUGUUGUUAAAGCCUCCGGCCUAACCGGAGACAGGCAGCGGAAACUGGCGUACUAGAGGGUGGAAGAGAGAAGUGGAAUUCUCGGUGUAGCGGUAAAAUGCGUAGAUAUCGAGAGGAACACCGAUGGCGAAGGCAGCUUCUUGGUCCAUACCUGACGCUGGAACACGAAAGCGUGGGGAGCAAACAGGAUUAGAUACCCUGGUAGUCCACGCUGUAAACGAUGAUCACUAGACGUUGGUUUUGUUUUACAGAAUCAGUGUCGCAGCUAACGCGUUAAGUGAUCCGCCUGGGGAGUACGGUCGCAAGAUUAAAACUCAAAGGAAUUGACGG
rnacentral:rRNA from 1 species